CAGUCGUACCUUCGGGUAAUCAGCCUUUCGGGUGCGAUUCUGUGGGGUUUGAGGAGCUUAACACCUUUAUGCUUUGCAUAUUCAUGCUCUUGGGUGUACUUGCCCGUGUGGUUGGUUAACAUCAAUUUUGGUGGUCAUAAAAUGACUGGAGGAAUGUAGCUUCGAUCUCGUAUUGAAGUGUUAUAGCCUUCGGUAGAUGUGAUGAUCGAGAUUGAGGAUUGCAACGGAUACCCUUCGGGGCUACCUGUCUGAUCUCUGAUCGUUGCUCUGGUGCCGAAAGCUUGCUUACGGUUAUCAAAGUCGAUGGUCAAUAGGUUAGAACGGGUUAAA
rnacentral:rRNA from 1 species